rnacentral:rRNA from 1 species
CAGCAGCCACGGUAAUACGUAGGGUGCGAGCGUUAAUCGGAAUUACUGGGCGUAAAGCGUGCGCAGGCGGUGAUGUAAGACAGUUGUGAAAUCCCCGGGCUCAACCUGGGAACUGCAUCUGUGACUGCAUCGCUGGAGUGCGGCAGAGGGGGAUGGAAUUCCGCGUGUAGCAGUGAAAUGCGUAGAUAUGCGGAGGAACACCGAUGGCGAAGGCAAUCCCCUGGGCCUGCACUGACGCUCAUGCACGAAAGCGUGGGGAGCAAACAGGAUUAGAGACCCCCGUAGUCCCUGUCUCUUAUAC